AGAGUUUGAUCAUGGCUCAGAUUGAACGCUGGCGGCAUGCCUUACACAUGCAAGUCGAACGGUAACAGGUCUUCGGAUGCUGACGAGUGGCGAACGGGUGAGUAAUACAUCGGAACGUGCCCGAUCGUGGGGGAUAACGAGGCGAAAGCUUUGCUAAUACCGUAUACGAUCUACGGAUGAAAGCGGGGGAUCUUCGGACCUCGCGCGGACGGAGCGGCCGAUGGCAGAUUAGGUAGUUGGUGGGAUAAAAGCUUACCAAGCCGACGAUCUGUAGCUGGUCUGAGAGGAUGAUCAGCCACACUGGGACUGAGACACGGCCCAGACUCCUACGGGAGGCAGCAGUGGGGAAUUUUGGACAAUGGGCGAAAGCCUGAUCCAGCCAUGCCGCGUGCAGGAUGAAGGCCUUCGGGUUGUAAACUGCUUUUGUACGGAACGAAAAGCCUCUUUCUAAUAAAGAGGGGUCAUGACGGUACCGUAAGAAUAAGCACCGGCUAACUACGUGCCAGCAGCCGCGGUAAUACGUAGGGUGCAAGCGUUAAUCGGAAUUACUGGGCGUAAAGCGUGCGCAGGCGGUUUUGUAAGACAGAGGUGAAAUCCCCGGGCUCAACCUGGGAACUGCCUUUGUGACUGCAAGGCUGGAGUGCGGCAGAGGGGGAUGGAAUUCCGCGUGUAGCAGUGAAAUGCGUAGAUAUGCGGAGGAACACCGAUGGCGAAGGCAAUCCCCUGGGCCUGCACUGACGCUCAUGCACGAAAGCGUGGGGAGCAAACAGGAUUAGAUACCCCGGUAGU
rnacentral:rRNA from 1 species